rnacentral:rRNA from 1 species
UACAGAGGGGGCAAGCGUUGUUCGGAAUUACUGGGCGUAAAGGGCGCGUAGGCGGCCCGCUAAGUCGAACGUGAAAUCCCCAGGCUUAACCUGGGAACUGCGUCCGAUACUGGCAGGCUUGAAUCCGGGAGAGGGAUGUGGAAUUCCAGGUGUAGCGGUGAAAUGCGUAGAUAUCUGGAGGAACACCGGUGGCGAAGGCGGCGACCUGGGUAGAUACUGACGCUGAGGCGCGAAAGCCAGGGGAGCAAACGGG